GUCGCCGCGCAUGGAGGACGAGAUUUGAGCGGCUGCCUGCGGCCGGGGGAAAGCGCAUGUGCAGGGGCCGAGCUGCAGGCGCGGUGCGCAAGGGGGUAAGCCCCGGCCGGCGACGAGAUCUACAUAGGUAGUACACAUGCGCGCAAAUCUCGAUUGAAACCGAACACGCCGGCGACGAAAUCCACAAAGCGGCGGCCGGCGGCGACCUCACAGUUUCUGAUGAGUGAUGAUGACAGCUUUUGACCUCUUGCCAUCCAUCGGUUUGCUCCGGCUCAACGUUCCCUGCAUACUUCCGCUCGCUUAAGGCACGUUACACGUAGUAUAUACUUCAUUCUUUUAUCAAACGUGCAGCGUUUUAAAUCAAAUCUUUUUACUUUUGUAUAGAUAUGACACUAAAUUACGCCAUUAUUUUGCUGCAAGUUUGCAGA